GUGCUCACCUUGGCAGCACAUAUACUGAUAUUGGAACAAUACAGGGAAGAUUAGCAUGGUCCCUGCGCAAGGAUGAUAUGCAAAUUUGUAAAGUGUUCCAUAUUUAA